rnacentral:sRNA from 1 species
UGAAUCUUGAUGGCAUAUUAAUGCCGCCU